CUGACUUAUUGUACCAGAGCGCAGAAUAACUGAUGAGUUUACGAACGAUCAAGGGUGUCAGUAAGCGUUAGGGAAAAUAAGAAUUUAAAUUAUUGCCAGCAGCACAGUUAAUCACCAACGUUUUGAAUAACAUGAAAAAAGCCUAACCAGCUUUGCUUGAUUGAAUGCCACCCCUAUCUGAACCAGGAGAAGUUGAUCAGCUACUGUCACUCUAAGGGCAUCUCUGUGACAGCCUACAGCCCCCUGGGUUCCCCAAACAGACCAUGGGCCAAAGCAGAGGACCCUUCCCUACUGGAGGAUCCCAACAUCAAGGCCAUCGCUGAGAAGCACAAGAAGACCUCUGCCCAGGUACUGUAC